GGUUGACCUCGAAUCGGUUCUGAAAAUCCACUGAACUUAAGCAUAUCAAUAAGCGGAGGAA
rnacentral:rRNA from 3 species